GACGAACGCUGGCGGAGGGCGUAACACAUGCGAGUCGAACGGAAAGGCCCUGCUUUUGUGGGGUGCUCGAGUGGCGAACGGGUGAGUAACACGUGAGUAACCUGCCCUUGACUUUGGGAUAACUUCAGGAAACUGGGGCUAAUACCGGAUAGGAGCUCCUGCUGCAUGGUGGGGGUUGGAAAGUUUCGGCGGUUGGGGAUGGACUCGCGGCUUAUCAGCUUGUUGGUGGGGUAGUGGCUUACCAAGGCUUUGACGGGUAGCCGGCCUGAGAGGGUGACCGGCCACAUUGGGACUGAGAUACGGCCCAGACUCCUACGGGAGGCAGCAGUGGGGAAUAUUGCACAAUGGGCGGAAGCCUGAUGCAGCAACGCCGCGUGCGGGAUGACGGCCUUCGGGUUGUAACCCGCUUUCGCCUGUGACGAAGCGUGAGUGACGGUAAUGGGUAAAGAAGCACCGGCUAACUACGUU
rnacentral:rRNA from 1 species